rnacentral:rRNA from 1 species
GACGGUAACAGCCCGGUAGUUGAAAUGGCUUUCCCUCCAGAGUGGAUCCUGAGUACGGCGGAACACGUGAAAUUCCGUCGGAAUCCGGGAGGACCAUCUCCCAAGGCUAAAUACUCCCUAGUGACCGAUAGUGAACCAGUACCGUGAGGGAAAGGUGAAAAGCACCCCGGAAGGGGAGUGAAACAGUUCCUGAAACCGUGUGCCUACAAGUAGUUAGAGCCCGUUAAUGGGUGAUAGCGUGCCUUUUGUAGAAUGAACCGGCGAGUUACGAUUUGUUGCAAGGUUAAGCGGAA